rnacentral:rRNA from 1 species
AGCGAACGCUGGCGGCAGGCCUAAUACAUGCAAGUCGAGCGGUCCCUUCGGGGGGCAGCGGCGGACGGGUGAGUAACGCGUGGGAACGUGCCCUUUGGUACGGAACAACUGAGGGAAACUUCAGCUGAUACCGUAUGUGCCCUUCGGGGGAAAGAUUUAUCGCCAUUGGAGCGGCCCGCGUUGGAUUAGGUAGUUGGUGAGGUAAAGGCUCACCAAGCCUACGAUCCAUAGCUGGUCUGAGAGGAUGAUCAGCCACACUGGGACUGAGACACGGCCCAGACUCCUACGGGAGGCAGCAGUAGGGAAUCUUGCGCAAUGGGCGAAAGCCUGACGCAGCCAUGCCGCGUGAAUGAUGAAGGUCUUAGGAUUGUAAAAUUCUUUCACCGGGGACGAUAAUGACGGUACCCGGAAAGGGGAACCCCGGCUAACUUCGUG